CCUACGGGAGGCAGCAUUGGGGAAUAUUGCACAAUGGGCGCAAGCCUGAUGCAGCCAUGCCGCGUGUAUGAAGAAGGCCUUCGGGUUGUAAAGUACUUUCAGCAGUGAGGAAGGUGGGUAUGUUAAUAGCAUACUCAUUUGACGUUAGCUGCAGAAGAAGCACCGGCUAACUCCGUGCCAGCAGCCGCGGUAAUACGGAGGGUGCGAGCGUUAAUCGGAAUUACUGGGCGUAAAGCGCAUGCAGGUGGUUUGUUAAGUCAGAUGUGAAAGCCCCGGGGCUCAACCUCGGAAUUGCAUUUGAAACUGGCAAACUAGAGUACUGUAGAGGGGGUAGAAUUUCAGGUGUAGCGGUGAAAUGCGUAGAGAUCUGAAGGAAUACCGGUGGCGAAGGCGGCCCCCUGGACAGAUACUGACACUCAGAUGCGAAAGCGUGGGGAGCAAACAGGAUUAGAUACCCUGGUAG
rnacentral:rRNA from 1 species